GGAAGAUGCCAGAUCGAGGAAGUCAUAGACUGCAGGACAGAAUGGACUUGGAAUGUGGUCGUGACUCGACAUCCAGGGAGAAAAUCAAGGGAGAAUGAACUGAAGGGAAAACUGGAGUGAAGUGCACAAGACUUUUGCACAGUGGUGUAUUUGCCAAUGUGGAGUGAAGAGCGAGUUUGUAAACCUGGCGGAAGCAAAGGAUGCUGGGAUUGGUGAAGGCCUCACUGCAGGAGGGGUGUGAGACACGUGGCAGAGAAGGAGUUCCAGGGGCACUGGUGCAGACACACUGAGCCCAGAGACACCGGGCCAAGGAAUAUCAUUCUGGAAGGGUGGAAAGAAAAUCAGGAGUCAGAAAUAAGAGAGCAUCCAAUUCUCAGGAUGCUUAAAAGGUGAAUUGCCCUUCUGAGUACCAAGGGGCCAUCAGCCUUGCAAGGUCACGGUGAGACUGGGUGAACCCUGAAGCACUCAGACCCAGCUGAAAUGGGGAGGACCUUCAACAAAAGGACUGCUGUCAUUAAAGAAGGAAGCUCAUCAUCACCUCCUCAUUUACUAAUAAAUUCUUGCCUUAUUAAUGGUGGUGAAAUCCUGUAAAAAAAAAAUGGGAAACGAAUGGAUCUUGAGUUCUAAGACAGGAAUGGCCAACCUUUUACAUUCCACGCGUCAAUUUUUUCACCAAGGGUCGGCCACCUUUUUGCCUCUGUGGGCCGGAUCGCGUAUUAAUGAGCGGACGGUGGGCCAGAUAAGGGCCAUAAAAAACUUGAAAUAUGGGAAUUAUCCAUUUAAAUAC